rnacentral:rRNA from 1 species
GACGAACGCUGGCGGCGUGCCUAAUACAUGCAAGUCGAGCGAACGGACGAGAAGCUUGCUUCUCUGAUGUUAGCGGCGGACGGGUGAGUAACACGUGGAUAACCUACCUAUAAGACUGGGAUAACUUCGGGAAACCGGAGCUAAUACCGGAUAAUAUUUUGAACCGCAUGGUUCAAAAGUGAAAGACGGUCUUGCUGUCACUUAUAGAUGGAUCCGCGCUGCAUUAGCUAGUUGGUAAGGUAACGGCUUACCAAGGCAACGAUGCAUAGCCGACCUGAGAGGGUGAUCGGCCACACUGGAACUGAGACACGGUCCAGACUCCUACGGGAGGCAGCAGUAGGGAAUCUUCCGCAAUGGGCGAAAGCCUGACGGAGCAACGCCGCGUGAGUGAUGAAGGUCUUCGGAUCGUAAAACUCUGUUAUUAGGGAAGAACAUAUGUGUAAGUAACUGUGCACAUCUUGACGGUACCUAAUCAGAAAGCCACGGCUAACUACGUGCCAGCAGCCGCGGUAAUACGUAGGUGGCAAGCGUUAUCCGGAAUUAUUGGGCGUAAAGCGCGCGUAGGCGGUUUUUUAAGUCUGAUGUGAAAGCCCACGGCUCAACCGUGGAGGGUCAUUGGAAACUGGAAAACUUGAGUGCAGAAGAGGAAAGUGGAAUUCCAUGUGUAGCGGUGAAAUGCGCAGAGAUAUGGAGGAACACCAGUGGCGAAGGCGACUUUCUGGUCUGUAACUGACGCUGAUGUGCGAAAGCGUGGGGAUCAAACAGGAUUAGAUACCCUGGUAGUCCACGCCGUAAACGAUGAGUGCUAAGUGUUAGGGGGUUUCCGCCCCUUAGUGCUGCAGCUAACGCAUUAAGCACUCCGCCUGGGGAGUACGACCGCAAGGUUGAAACUCAAAGGAAUUGACGGGGACCCGCACAAGCGGUGGAGCAUGUGGUUUAAUUCGAAGCAACGCGAAGAACCUUACCAAAUCUUGACAUCCUUUGACAACUCUAGAGAUAGAGCCUUCCCCUUCGGGGGACAAGGUGACAGGUGGUGCAUGGUUGUCGUCAGCUCGUGUCGUGAGAUGUUGGGUUAAGUCCCGCAACGAGCGCAACCCUUAAGCUUAGUUGCCAUCAUUAAGUUGGGCACUCUAAGUUGACUGCCGGUGACAAACCGGAGGAAGGUGGGGAUGACGUCAAAUCAUCAUGCCCCUUAUGAUUUGGGCUACACACGUGCUACAAUGGACAAUACAAAGGGCAGCGAAACCGCGAGGUCAAGCAAAUCCCAUAAAGUUGUUCUCAGUUCGGAUUGUAGUCUGCAACUCGACUACAUGAAGCUGGAAUCGCUAGUAAUCGUAGAUCAGCAUGCUACGGUGAAUACGUUCCCGGGUCU